rnacentral:rRNA from 1 species
GAUGAACGCUGGCGGCGUGCCUAAUACAUGCAAGUCGAGCGAACGGACGAGAAGCUUGCUUCUCUGAUGUUAGCGGCGGACGGGUGAGUAACACGUGGAUAACCUACCUAUAAGACUGGGAUAACUUCGGGAAACCGGAGCUAAUACCGGAUAAUAUUUUGAACCGCAUGGUUCAAAAGUGAAAGACGGUCUUGCUGUCACUUAUAGAUGGAUCCGCGCUGCAUUAGCUAGUUGGUAAGGUAACGGCUUACCAAGGCAACGAUGCAUAGCCGACCUGAGAGGGUGAUCGGCCACACUGGAACUGAGACACGGUCCAGACUCCUACGGGAGGCAGCAGUAGGGAAUCUUCCGCAAUGGGCGAAAGCCUGACGGAGCAACGCCGCGUGAGUGAUGAAGGUCUUCGGAUCGUAAAACUCUGUUAUUAGGGAAGAACAGAUGUGUAAGUAACUGUGCACAUCUUGACGGUACCUAAUCAGAAAGCCACGGCUAACUACGU